ACUCCUACGGGAGGCAGCAGUGGGAAUAUUGCACAAUGGGCGCAAGCCUGAUGCAGCCAUGCCGCGUGUGUGAAGAAGGCCUUCGGGUUGUAAAGCACUUUCAGUAAGGAGGAAAGGUUAGUAGUUAAUACCUGCUAGCUGUGACGUUACUUACAGAAGAAGCACCGGCUAACCUCCGCUGCCAGCAGCCGCAGGUAAUAGCGGAGGGUGCGAGCGUUAAUCGGAAUUACUGGGCGUAAAGCGUACGCAGGCGGUUUGUUAAGCGAGAUGUGAAAG
rnacentral:rRNA from 1 species